UACGGGGGGAGCAAGCGUUGUUCGGAUUUACUGGGCGUAAAGGGCGCGUAGGCGGUCAGCACAAGUCAGUUGUGAAAUCUCCGGGCUUAACUCGGAAAGGUCAACUGAUACUGUGCGACUAGAGUGCAGAAGGGGCAACUGGAAUUCUCGGUGUAGCGGUGAAAUGCGUAGAUAUCGAGAGGAACACCUGCGGCGAAGGCGGGUGCUGGGCUGACACUGACGCUGAUGCGCGAAAGCCAGGGAGCGAACGGG
rnacentral:rRNA from 1 species